rnacentral:rRNA from 1 species
UCGGGACUAUCGCUUAAUGGGCGAAAGCCUGCAGCAGCAACGCCGCGUGGACGAAGAAGGCCUUCGAGUUGUAAAGUUCUUUUAUAAGGGCUGAGGAAGGACAGUACCAUAUGAAUAAGUCUCGGCUAACUACGUGCCAGCAGCCGCGGUAACACGUAGGAGGCAAACGUUAUCCGGAUUUACUGGGCGUAAAGCGCGUGUAGGUGGUUCUGUAAGUAGGGCGUGAAAGCUCCUGGCUCAACUGGGAGAGGCCGUUCUAAACUGUAGAGCUAGAGGAAGGCAGAGGUAGAUGGAACUCCGGGAGUAGUGGUGAAAUGCGUAGAGAUCAGGAAGAACACCAGAGGCGAAAGCGAACUACUGUGCCUUAACAGACACUGAGACGCGAAAGCCAGGAUAGCAAACG